rnacentral:rRNA from 1 species
CAAGUAGCCGAAGGCGGUAGCACAAGAUCAAGUGCUUUCUGUGAAGCCGGGCUGUAAGGCAUCCGGUGGAGAGAUCACUAGUGAGAAUGAUGACAUGAGUAGCGACAAACAGGGUGAGAGACCCUGUCGCCGAAAGUCCAAGGGUUCCUGCUUAAAGCUAAUCUGAGCAGGGUAAGCCGGCCCCUAAGGCGAGGCAGAAAUGCGUAGUCGAUGGGAACCAGGUUAAUAUUCCUGGGCCAGGAGGAUGUGACGGAUCGUGAAGGUAGUUCAAUCUUAUCGGAUUGAUUGGGCUGCUAAUCGGUUCCUGGAAAUAGCCCUCCACCAGACCGUACCCUAAACCGACACAGGUGGACUGGUAGAGAAUACCAAGGCGCUUGAGAGAACGAUGUUGAAGGAACUCGGCAAAAUACCUCCGUAAGUUCGCGAGAAGGAGGCCCGGUUUCUACGCAAGUAUUGACUGGGGGCACAAACCAGGGGGUGGCGACUGUUUACUAAAAACACAGGGCUCUGCGAAGUCGCAAGACGACGUAUAGGGUCUGACGCCUGCCCGGUGCUUGAAGGUUAAAAGGAGGGGUGAGAGCUCCGAAUUGAAGCCCAAGUA